AGUUUCUGCUCGGACUUUAACCAAGACUAAUGGCUUGAAAAACCACCGUUGUACUUCAACUACAAAAAC
rnacentral:tRNA from 1 species